rnacentral:rRNA from 1 species
AGUGAACGCUGGCGGUAGGCCUAACACAUGCAAGUCGAACGGCAGCACAGUAAGAGCUUGCUCUUACGGGUGGCGAGUGGCGGACGGGUGAGGAAUACAUCGGAAUCUACUUUUUCGUGGGGGAUAACGUAGGGAAACUUACGCUAAUACCGCAUACGACCUACGGGUGAAAGCAGGGGAUCUUCGGACCUUGCGCGAUUGAAUGAGUCGAUGUCGGAUUAGCUAGUUGGCGGGGUAAAGGCCCACCAAGGCGACGAUCCGUAGCUGGUCUGAGAGGAUGAUCGGCCACACUGGAACUGAGACACGGUCCAGACUCCGACGGGAGGCAGCAGUGGGGAAUAUUGGACAAUGGGCGCAAGCCUGAUCCAGCCAUACCGCGUGGGUGAAGAAGGCCUGCGGGUUGUAAAGCCCUUUUGUUGGGAAAGAAGAGCAGCAGGUUAAUACCCCGCUGUUCUGACGGUACCCAAAGAAUAAGCACCGGCUAACUUCGU